AGUGAACGCUGGCGGUAGGCCUAACACAUGCAAGUCGAACGGCAGCACAGGAGAGCUUGCUCUCUGGGUGGCGAGUGGCGGACGGGUGGGGAAUACAUCGGAAUCUACUUUGUCGUGGGGGAUAACGUAGGGAAACUUACGCUAAUACCGCAUACGACCUACGGGUGAAAGCAGGGGAUCUUCGGACCUUGCGCGAUUGAAUGAGCCGAUGUCGGAUUAGCUAGUUGGCGGGGUAAAGGCCCACCAAGGCGACGAUCCGUAGCUGGUCUGAGAGGAUGAUCAGCCACACUGGAACUGAGACACGGUCCAGACUCCUACGGGAGGCAGCAGUGGGGAAUAUUGGACAAUGGGCGCAAGCCUGAUCCAGCCAUACCGCGUGGGUGAAGAAGGCCUUCGGGUUGUAAAGCCCUUUUGUUGGGAAAGAAAUCCAGCCGGCUAAUACCUGGUUGGGAUGACGGUACCCAAAGAAUAAGCACCGGCUAACUUCGUGCCAGCAGCCGCGGUAAUACGAAGGGUGCAAGCGUUACUCGGAAUUACUGGGCGUAAAGCGUGCGUAGGUGGUUAUUUAAGUCCGUUGUGAAAGCCCUGGGCUCAACCUGGGAACUGCAGUGGAUACUGGAUGACUAGAAUGUGGUAGAGGGUAGCGGAAUUCCUGGUGUAGCAGUGAAAUGCGUAGAGAUCAGGAGGGAACAUCCAUGGCGAAGGCAGCUACCUGGACCAACAUUGACACUGAGGCACGAAAGCGUGGGGAGCAAACAGG
rnacentral:rRNA from 1 species